UGGAAUGAAGCUACUUGAAAAGAAGAAAGGCACCAAGAGGUCAAGACUCGGCGAGACCGGGCAAAUUUGGUCUUUCUUAGUCUUUGCUCUGUUAUCGUUAUACGACAACGAGCAAAGAGGGGCAGCUGUACAGCCUAAUUUACCCGGGCUCGCACCAAAUAAAAGCAGGGCCCAAUGCCCAAAUGUCCAAACCUACCCAAUACCCAAACCCCAAACAGCAGACCCAAUAACCCAAAUUACAAACAAGCCCAAAUAAAGAAAAACCUAGCCCAAACCCAAAAACAAAAAAAGAAAGAAACAAAGAAACCCUAGCCUCUAACCCUAGCCUCUGCCACCACCUGCUCCUGGCCGCCACUUGCUUCUGACGCCGCACCUAAUCCCAACCACCGCCAACUGCCACUGUCACC
rnacentral:lncRNA from 1 species